CAGUCGCCGCGGUAAUACGAAGGGGGCUAGCGUUGUUCGGAAUUACUGGGCGUAAAGCGCACGUAGGCGGACAUUUAAGUCAGGGGUGAAAUCCCGGGGCUCAACCCCGGAACUGCCUUUGAUACUGGGUGUCUAGAGUAUGGAAGAGGUGAGUGGAAUUCCGAGUGUAGAGGUGAAAUUCGUAGAUAUUCGGAGGAACACCAGUGGCGAAGGCGGCUCACUGGUCCAUUACUGACGCUGAGGUGCGAAAGCGUGGGGAGCAAACAGGAUUAGAGACCCCAGUAGUCCCUGUCUCUUAUAC
rnacentral:rRNA from 1 species